GCCAUCAAAUGUUGCUGAUCUCCUCUAAUGAGAUUUUGUCAUCCAUUAUUAGUAGAGAUAAAUUCCUGGAAUUUGUUGUGUUUUUUUUUUUUCAGUCUUAUAUAGGUCUAGUGUCUUCUUUUAAAAAUUUGACUGCUGACCAGCAAGUGAUAUUUAAUUCUAAAAUUCUUCAAUUCAGCAAUGCUACAUACGGCAUUGUGGAUUUUUGUUGCAUAUGUUCUGGUAAUGGAGAUCCUCUAUGAUGGGUUUUUAUGCUUUAGAUGCGUUUGUUUGGGCCCUUCCCCCCUUCUCAGUUCUGUUCUUAGGUUCAAUUUCUGUAUUCAAAUAUUUGAUCAUCAAAUGUUAAAGCAGAAAUGCCUUCACCUGAAGUA
rnacentral:misc_RNA from 1 species